GAUGAACGCUAGCGGCAGGCCUAACACAUGCAAGUCGAGGGGUAGAACACUUCGGUGUUUGAGACCGGCGCACGGGUGCGUAACGCGUAUGCAAUCUACCUUUUACAGGGGAAUAGCCCAGAGAAAUUUGGAUUAAUGCCCCAUGGUAUAUAUGCAUGGCAUCAUUUAUAUAUUAAAGUUCCAACGGUAAAAGAUGAGCAUGCGUCCCAUUAGUUAGUUGGUAAGGUAACGGCUUACCAAGACGAUGAUGGGUAGGGGUCCUGAGAGGGAGAUCCCCAACACUGGUACUGAGACACGGAACAGACUCCUACGGGAGGCAGCAGUGAUGAAUAUUGGACAAUGGGCGCAAGCCUGAUCCAGCCAUGCCGCGUGCAGGAAGAAGCAUCUAUGGUGUGUAAACUGCUUUUGUACGGGAAGAAACACUCCCUCGUGAGGGAGCUUGACGGUACCGUAAGAAUAAGGAUCGGCUAACUCCGUGCCAGCAGCCGC
rnacentral:rRNA from 1 species